GUUACGCUCGGAUGAAAGUUUUACCAAUCGUGUUAAAUAAAUUGAUCGGUGGGACUUUCGUCCGUUUAAAAC
rnacentral:pre_miRNA from 1 species